rnacentral:rRNA from 1 species
AUUGAACGCUGGCGGCAGGCCUAAUACAUGCAAGUCGAACGGUAACAUAAAGAAGCUUGCUUCUUUUGAUGACGAGUGGCGGACGGGUGAGUAAUAUUUGGGAAACUACCUGAUAGAGGGGGACAACAGUUGGAAACGACUGCUAAUACCGCAUAAAGCCUGAGGGUGAAAGCAGCAAUGCGCUAUCAGAUGUGCCCAAACGGGAUUAGCUAGUAGGUGAGGUAAAGGCUCACCUAGGCGACGAUCUCUAGCUGGUCUGAGAGGAUGAUCAGCCACAUUGGGACUGAGACACGGCCCAGACUCCUACGGGAGGCAGCAGUAGGGAAUAUUGCACAAUGGAGGAAACUCUGAUGCAGCCAUGCCGCGUGUGUGAAGAAGGCCUUCGGGUUGUAAAGCACUUUCGGAGGGGAGGAAAAAAUGACGUUACCCUCAGAAGAAGCACCGGCUAACUCCGUG